UAGCUUAAGAAAAACCGUACCGCAAACCGACACAGGUAGGCAGGGUGAGAAUCCCAAGGCGCUUGAGAGAACUCGGGUGAAGGAACUAGGCAAAAUGGCACCGUAACUUCGGGAGAAGGUGCGCCCUUUGGUGUGGUCACGUGCGUGACUGAGCAUCGAAGGGUCGCAGUAACCUGGCCGCUGCGACUGUUUAUCAAAAACACAGCACUCUGCAAACACGAAAGUGGACGUAUAGGGUGUGACGCCUGCCCGGUGCUGGAAGGUUAAUUGAUGGGGUCAGCCGCAAGGCGAAGCUCUUGAUCGAAGCCCCAGUAAACGGCGGCCGUAACGACAACGGUCCUAAGGUAGCGAAAUUCCUUGUCGGGUAAGUUCCGACCUGCACGAAUGGCGUAACGACAGCGGCGCUGUCUCCACCCGAGACUCAGUGAAAUUGAAAUCGCUGUGAAGAUGCAGCGUUCCCGCGGCAAGACGGAAAGACCCCGUGAACCUUUACUAUAGCUUUACACUGAACGUUGAGUUCUUCUGUGUAGGAUAGGUGGGAGGCUAUGAAACCAGGACGCUAGUUCUGGUGGAGCCAUCCUUGAAAUACCACCCUGAAGUGCUUGACGUUCUAACCUAGGCCCGUAAUCCGGGUCAGGGACCGUGUAUGGUGGGUAGUUUGACUGGGGCGGUCUCCUCCCAAAGAGUAACGGAGGAGCACGAAGGUACGCUCAGCGCGGUCGGACAUCGCGCACUGUGUGCAAAGGCAUAAGCGUGCUUGACUGCGAGAUCGACGGAUCAAGCAGGUACGAAAGUAGGUCUUAGUGAUCCGGUGGUUCUGUAUGGAAGGGCCAUCGCUCAACGGAUAAAAGGUACUCCGGGGAUAACAGGCUGAUACCGCCCAAGAGUUCAUAUCGACGGCGGUGUUUGGCACCUCGAUGUCGGCUCAUCACAUCCUGGGGCUGUAGCCGGUCCCAAGGGUAUGGCUGUUCGCCAUUUAAAGUGGUACGCGAGCUGGGUUCAGAACGUCGUGAGACAGUUCGGUCCCUAUCUGUCGUGGGCGUUGGAGAUUUGAGGGGGGCUGCUCCUAGUACGAGGGGACCGGAGUGGACGUUCCGCUGGUGUUCGGGUUGUCAUGCCCAUGGCAUUGCCCGGUAGCUACGAACGGAAGUGAUAACCGCUGAAAGCAUCUAAGCGGGAAGCACGCCCCAAGAUGAGAUCUCCCGAGAGCUUGACUCUCCUAAAGGCACCAUCAAGACUAGGUGGUUGAUAGGUCAGGUGUGGAAGCGCAGCAAUGCGUUGAGCUAACUGAUACUAAUGAGCCGUGAGGCUUGAUC
rnacentral:rRNA from 1 species